AUGACCUUGAUAUACGAAAGGAGCUCCGAGAGGAAAAACGCGAAAUUAUCGAAAAAGAACGACUCUAAAGAAAACGCUCCAAAAGGAGCGCGUUGCUCUAGUCUUAACAUAAAACGUGAAGACUAGAAGUUAAAAACAACAACUCAUUUUUCUAAUCUUUCAUAAACACAAGAUGCUUACUCAUCUAAGUAAAAUAUUGCCCAGUUUCACGUGUCAUGCCACAACAAAAUCAAUCCUUAGACACCUUCAUAACCUACUGUCUGGAAUCCACUUUAAUAUUAUAUUCCCACAUACGUCUGGGCGUCCAAAGUGACCUCUUCACUUCAGGCACGCGUACGUCUGCAAACGAAUGAGUACGGAAGACCGGGGUCUUCUGGUGAACAAGCUGACCCCCACCGAGGCCGAGGAUCUGCUGUUCCUCCGUUACUUCUUUCACGAUCGGUCUGGUAUCCCCCGCUCGGUGGUUCGACCUGUCUUUCCCGUAUUCUCCCUCACGUACUUAGAUCAGCUCCUAUCCUCCCCGUCAAAACCCAGUCGUGGUAGAAUUCUUUACUUCGUCAUGAAAGUGGGCUGUGGGUCACUUCCAAGAUCUGUUUCGUUUGUCUUUGUUAACUUGUUUCUUGCAAGGCAAUUUCCAUCGUUCUAUUUUUGGCUAAGUAAAGACAUUUCUUCCUUUAAAAAGAUCUUAGUCUACAAACAAUUGCAUCUCACCUUUAACUAAACCAACAACGUCGUCUAAUUUUUGAUAUAAAUUAUCAUUUUGAAAACGACGUGAUAUUCAGGCAUUUCCAAUGGGAGAACUUCCAUCCCAACCCUUCCUUUACCUGAUCCAAAGGAAAUGGAUCGUUUAAAUCGGAUUUAAGGAACCGGGCAACGAAGCACAUUCACAGUCCAGCUCAUUGCUCCUGAUGACAUUUCCCUUAAAAUAAUUAGAUGGGGAGGACAAAUUAUUCAGAUCGUCAUACUGACUGUAGAUGUCAUCUGUCCAGUUUCGCUGUACCUCUUUAAGUUCUGAACAACGAUCCCCAACAUGCACCGUUUUCCCUCCCAGCCCGAGUGCCAAUUUUCACGCAUUUUGUCAAAAUAAAACAAGGCGCGAAGUUAUAAUUCUCUAAAUUUCGUCAUACGGAAAAUAACAGACUUCCAAGGAUUAUAUUAUAAUCAACUUCUUGUUUAAAUUACGUCACGAAAGGGAUCAGGUUAAUAAUCUGUAAUGGUCGGUUUUAGUUACACAAAACCACUAUGGAUGACGCUUCAGAGCGUUACUUUUAGAACACAUGGUACUGAAUUCAGUAAUUCCCCUGGGGCCUCUGAGUCACCUCCCCCAUUCGAGGGGCUCCUACCCUCAUGCAGAAGGAACUCGAAGGACAAUGCACCCUCUCGUUGUCUACAUAAGCAUUGCUAAUUGGAGCUAUUGUUCCGUGACAGUGUAAACAGUUUCAGCCUGGGGAUAGACGUCCUGGAAUCCUGGAACGCAUCAGGACCUGGAGACGGUCGGAUGGAACAGACCUCCGUGUGGUCCGCUCCGUGCAUGUGCCUCCAACAGGCUCACCGGUUCAUAAAACAAUGGAGGCUCUCAAAAGUGGUAUCCCUGCUGUGUGUUCAAUUUCAGCCAACAGAAGCACGUGGACUUAAGAGGGAAGGUUCGUGUGUUUAACUUGGGGUGUCACGUAAGGGCCAAUAUGGGGGUUUCGUGACAAACAGAUGAUUGUUCGCAUAUUGAAGACGUUAACAACGGAGGACCAGACCUGUAGCGAGAAUACAGUAAACAAGUAAUGCAUACAUAAUUUUGGGCAAAUCCCUUGAAAGACCAUCGCCUGGAAGUUCGAGUAAAAUGUGUGAGGACAACAUUAACAACUGAGUAACGUUAUCGAGGAAAAGGGUUGUUCGCUUACGGAGCGGAUGGUGCCGAUCCAGGACCGUGUCGAACCCCGGGAUUCCAUAUUAGCUAUAUUUAUCUUUCAGAUUAUAAUACCAGACAUUAGGUUGAUCGCUACAAUUGAAUAAAAUGUGGUGAUAAGUGGAAAGUAGCUUCACUGCGGUGGGUUGAAGGAACAUUUGUCGCCCCUGUCGGGAACUGAACCCUCAUGGCCCAGCUCGUCGAUUAAAAUAUAUUUGCGUAUAAUUUUUCCUUGGCGUCUAAUAUAGCGUUUCUUUGAUUUCCAAGGGCUCUCAUCUGCACAAAUCGGGUGUGAAUUACUUUUCCUUCGAUAGAUGGCAACAGGUGGUUUGGGUUGCUGGCUGUUUUUUUUUUUAAAUUUUUGCACUCAGUUGCUCCAACUUGGUCUAGGUUUGUACGCCACAGCACGGACGUCGGCGUCACUUUGAUUUCUGUUCCAACACGCUCCUGAACACCCGUGAAAGAAAAACGUGUCUUGAACUGCACCCGUGGUCGAAAUGGAUGAGUCAGAAUUUGGCUAUCUUCUGGGGUUUUAGUCUGUUAGAAGUUUACCAGCGUUUCAGAGACCUCUGAAACGUCAGUUCUCUUCUAACAGACUACACGGCGCUACAACCCAGAAGAUAGCCACAACUUGGUGAUAGAAUUAUCUUCAUGAACAUCAACAUUAAAUGUUGUUUCAUAUUGUUUUGACAAUAAACUCACCGAACUAAAUUGUGUUUGGCAUAAUCAAACAGCGCCAUGAGAUCUGCUGGCACAGGAUUCAGCAAACAGCUUCCCACAUUCCUUCCAGCGCCUGUUUUCUCUAGAUUAUUCUACUUAAACAGCCAGGUUAUCGGAAUUUAUAAGUUGCAGCAUUUCCGGACAGCGGAUUCUGUAUGAAAGAGUCGGGGAAUCCUACCGUCAAAGAAACGCUGAUCCACAACGCUCAAGUUUGCGCCACGAUUGACUGGAGGACGAGGGCACCUGCGCCCAGCGCUGCUCCGCUCUUCAAAGCAGCAGGCAGCAUUCAAGCUGUAGCUAUUUCACAACACAAAACCCAGCAAGAAACUGGGAAGACGUCAUAAACUUUGGAAACGGAAUGACACACAGGCUAGAGGAAGAUAAUAACACUUUUACUGAGAUUGAAGAUUAGUCGAAAUUUGGUUCAUUUCAUUUUCUCGAUUUCUCUUCAGAUCUAUAAAUAAAAAGAACUUUACGAUAACAAAAGAGAAAUUGGGGGCUCUAGCUAGCAAUAAAACCAUAACCCGCAUACUGGCUACGCUCCUAAACUCAAUUUUCACAAAAGUUUCGCAUAGUUCUUUAACAGCAGUUCAAAGAAGAUAAAGCUUGAAGCGCUAUUAAAGAAUCAGUCUUACGACAAGAGACGAAGUAAUAACUUUAAUGUUUAUCACUUAUUCCAAAUAACAAUUUAGGGAAAGUAUUUCAAAUUGCCUCUGAACACUGCUUCAGAGAAUCCGAAUAUCACCCCUCCCCCAAACCUAGGCUUGGAACAGCAACGGAUAAUGGCGAGUAACGGGACCCUCCAACGCAAAGAACAGUUUCCAGAGAGCCAUUUCAUCCCGAAUAAAACAAAUAAAUAAUUUUCCUAGAAAAUCGCUCAAGAAACAAAAAGGCAAACACGCGACACUGUAUAUAAAGUUUGUGACAGUUCGUUCUCUGAAAGAGAAAAAAUCAUACCUGCGGUUAGGUUAGGUUACGUUAGGUUAGAUUAGGUUAGGUUAGAUUAGGUUACGUUAGGUUAGGUUACGUUAGGUUAGGUUACGUUAGGUUAGAUUAGGUUAGG